rnacentral:rRNA from 1 species
UCCGGGGGCUGCCGCCCCCGGGCGCAGGUCCGGCUGGGGAGCGGAACGGCAUGGGAGGGCCGGCCGCAGCGGGUGACAGCCCCGUACGCGAACCCAGACCGGACGGCGCGACGCGGUCCCUGAGUAGGGCCGGGCACGUGAAACCCGGUCCGAACCUGGGUGGACCACCAUCCAAGCCUGAGUACUACCCUGUGACCGAUAGCGCACCAGUACCGUGAGGGAAAGGUGAAAAGCACCCCGGGAGGGGAGUGAAACAGUACCUGAAACCGUGCGCCCACGAGCAGUCGGAGCAACUUUACGUUGUGACGGCGUGCCUUUUGUAGAAUGAGCCAGCGAGUCGCUGGCGCGGGGCGAGGUUAACCGAAAGGGAGCCGGAGCGAAAGCGAGCCUUAACAGGGCGACUUGAGUCCCGCGCCGCGGACGCGAAGCCGGGUGAGCUAUCCGUGGGCAGGCUGAAGCGGGGGUAAGACCCCGUGGAGGGCCGAACGCACGUCGGUUGAAAACGGCGGCGAUGACCUGCGGAUAGGGGUGAAAGGCCAAUCAAACCCGGAGAUAUCUCGUUCUCCCCGAAAUAGCUUUAGGGCUAGCGUCGCGCGUUCACCGCCGGAGGUAGAGCACCGGAUGGACGAGGGGGCUUCGCCGCCUACCGAAUCCAACCGAACUCCGAAUGCCGGCGGCCCAGAGCGCGGCAGUCAGAGCAUGUGGGCUAAGCUGUGUGCUCGAGAGGGAAACAGCCCGGACCGCCCGCUAAGGUCCCCAAGUUCCAGCCGAGUGGCAAAGGAUGUGCGUCCGCCCAGACAACCAGGAUGUUGGCUUAGAAGCAGCCAUACAUUCAAAGAGUGCGUAACAGCUCACUGGUCGAGUGGACAUGCGCCGACAAUACACGGGGCUAAGCUGGACACCGAAGCGGCGGGAUUUUAAUUCAUUAGAAUCGGUAGGGGAGCUUCCCAUGGGCGGAGAAGCCGGAGGGCGACCGACGGUGGAGCGCAUGGGAGUGAGAAUGCUGGCAUGAGUAGCGAGAGACGAGAGAGUAACUCGUCCGCCGUGAACCCGAGGUUUCCUGGGCAAGGCUAAUCCUCCCAGGGUCAGUCGGGGGCUAAGGCGAGGCCGGUAGGCGUAGCCGACGCGCAGCAGGCAGACAUUCCUGCACCGCGCACGCGGCGCUACGACCGACGGGGCGACGGAUGGGGGUGGCUCGGCGGGGUUCUGGACGUCCCCGUGAUGGAGCGCGGCCCGCGGACCAGGGAAAUCCGGUCCGCAGAAGGGCGAGGCUCCGGACGAAGCGACUGAGCGAAGCGAGUGAGCCCGAGGUCCCUAGAAAAACCCCUAGGCAGGCGCGUGCGCGCCCGUACCGCAAACCGACACAGGUGGGUGGGUAGAACAUACCGAGGCGAUCGGGUCAACCAUGGUCAAGGAACUCGGCACAAUGGCCCCGUAACUUCGGGAGAAGGGGUGCCCGCGCGUACGUGAACCGGCUUGCCCGGGGAGCGGAGGCGGGCCGCAGUGGAGAGGCCCAAGCGACUGUUUACCAAAAACACAGGACUCUGCAGAAGCCGCAAGGCGACGUAUAGGGUCUGACGCCUGCCCGGUGCCGGAAGGUCACGCGGAGGAGUUAGCCGAUUCGGCGAAGCCCCGAAGCCAAGCCCCGGUAAACGGCGGCCGUAACUAUAACGGUCCUAAGGUAGCGAAAUUCCUUGUCGGGUAAGUUCCGACCUGCACGAAAGGCGCAACGACUUGGGCGCUGUCUCGACCAUGGACCCGGUGAAAUUGCACUGGUCGUGAAGAUGCGACUUACCCGCGGAAGGACGGAAAGACCCCGUGAACCUUCACUGCAGCUUGGCAUUGGCCGCUGGUCCCGCGUGUAGAGGAUAGGCAGGAGGCACAGAUCCGGAGGCGCCAGCCCCCGGGGAGCCGCCCUUGGAAUACUGCCCUCGCGCGACCGGCGUCCUAACCCGAGGCCGUCAACCGGCUCGGGGACCGUGCCAGGCGGGCAGUUUGACUGGGGCGGUCGCCUCCUAAAGGGUAACGGAGGCGCGCGAAGGUCCGCUCGGGACGGUCGGCAACCGUCCUUUUGAAUGCAAGAGUACAAGCGGGCUUGACUGCGAGGCCCACAAGCCGAGCAGGUGCGAAAGCAGGCUCUAGUGAUCCGGCGGCCCCGAGUGGGUGGGCCGUCGCUCAACGGAUAAAAGGUACUCCGGGGAUAACAGGCUGAUCUUGCCCAAGAGUCCACAUCGACGGCAAGGUUUGGCACCUCGAUGUCGGCUCAUCGCAUCCUGGGGCUGGAGCAGGUCCCAAGGGUA